rnacentral:rRNA from 1 species
GACGAACGCUGGCGGCGUGCUUAACACAUGCAAGUCGAACGGGUCUGCCCUGUUUUUUGCGGGGUGGGUCAGUGGCGAACGGGUGAGUAACACGUGAGUAACCUGCCCCUCACUUCUGGAUAACCGCUUGAAAGGGUGGCUAAUACGGGGUGUUCUGGCUGUGCCGCAUGGUGUGGCUGGGAAAGAUUCACUUUUGUGGUGUUUUGGUGGGGGAUGGGCUCGCGGCCUAUCAGCUUGUUGGUGGGGUGAUGGCCUGCCAAGGCUUUGACGGGUAGCCGGCCUGGGAGGGUGGGCGGUCACACUGGGACUGAGAUACGGCCCAGACUCCUGCGGGAGGCAGCAGUGGGGGGUAUUGCACAAUGGGCGGAAGCCUGAUGCAGCGACGUCGCGUGAGGGAUGGAGGCCUUCGGGUUGUGAACCUCUUUCGCCGGUGAAGAAGGUCCUGCUCUUUGUGGUGGGGUUGACGGUAGCCGGGUUAUGAAGCGCCGGCUAACCACGUG